rnacentral:lncRNA from 1 species
CUAACUAAUCAAUAUACAAAUACUAUGAUUAAAUUUAAAUUACAUACAUGCAUACAACUUGUACAUUUGCAUUCUUUUCUUUAUCAUCAUUUCUUCUCUUUUACAUCACAUGAUAUCUCAAAAUAUAACCCUUGCAUUGAAACAUAAACUCUUUUUACAUCAUUCAUUUAACUUGUUCAUAAUACUAAAAUCAUCAAAAUACA